UCCAAGUCUAACCGACAGGGUAACCAGC
rnacentral:sRNA from 1 species